GGGAGUGUCUAUGAGGUAGGACUUCAUGGUGGUUGUCUUUCAGGAAUGACUGCUCUUAGAGACUCUGGACAAUGAACAUGGAGUUAGUUACAACCCUACUCUGUGUUAGAGAGGACAGGAGAGGAGAGGUAGAUUUCAUCUACCAAACUGGACUCCUUGGAGGAAGAGAGAACAGAGACCAGCUACGAGGAUCCAGUUGCUAAAAAUGCCUGCGGGUUUGCACACAAGCAGACGCUGUGCAGUCCUCACAAUGCUGGGUGGCUUCCUCUUCUCAGUGCCAGCAAGAAAAGACCUGGAAGACCUUAUAGGAGAUCAUCUGUCCCUCCUUCGAUGAUCAUGGCCUCCAUACACAGGAGAG
rnacentral:lncRNA from 1 species